rnacentral:rRNA from 1 species
AUGUGCUGUGAGCUCGAUGAGUAGGGCGGGACACGUGGUAUCCUGUCUGAAUAUGGGGGGACCAUCCUCCAAGGCUAAAUACUCCUGACUGACCGAUAGUGAACCAGUACCGUGAGGGAAAGGCGAAAAGAACCCCGGCGAGGGGAGUGAAAAAGAACCUGAAACCGUGUACGUACAAGCAGUGGGAGCACCCUUUGGGUGUGACUGCGUACCUUUUGUAUAAUGGGUCAGCGACUUAUAUUCUGUAGCAAGGUUAACCGAAUAGGGGAGCCGGAGGGAAACCGAGUCUUAACCGGGCGUUAAGUUGCAGGGUAUAGACCCGAAACCCGGUGAUCUAGCCAUGGGCAGGUUGAAGGUUGGGUAACACUAACUGGAGGACCGAACCGACUAAUGUUGAAAAAUUAGCGGAUGACCUGUGGCUGGGGGUGAAAGGCCAAUCAAACCGGGAGAUAGCUGGUUCUCCCCGAAAGCUAUUUAGGUAGCGCCUCGUGAAUUCAUCUCCGGGGGUAGAGCACUGUUUCGGCUAGGGGGCCAUCCCGGCUUACCAACCCGAUGCAAACUGCGAAUACCGGAGAAUGUUAUCACGGGAGACACACGGCGGGUGCUAACGUCCGUCGUGAAGAGGGAAACAACCCAGACCGCCAGCUAAGGUCCCAAAGUCAUGGUUAAGUGGGAAACGAUGUGGGAAGGCCCAGACAGCCAGGAUGUUGGCUUAGAAGCAGCCAUCAUUUAAAG